rnacentral:rRNA from 1 species
CAUAUCAAUAAGCGGAGGAAAAGAAACUAACAAAGGAUUCCCCUAGUAACUGCGAGUGAAGCGGGAAAAGCUCAAAUUUAAAAUCUGUCAGCCUUUGGCUGUCCGAGUUGUAAUCUAGAGAAGUGUUAUCCGCGCUGGACCGUGUACAAGUCUCCUGGAAUGGAGCGUCAUAGAGGGUGAGAAUCCCGUCUUUGACACGGACUGCCAGGGCUUUGUGAUGCGCUCUCAAAGAGUCGAGUUGUUUGGGAAUGCAGCUCAAAAUGGGUGGUAAAUUCCAUCUAAAGCUAAAUAUUGGCGAGAGACCGAUAGCGAACAAGUACCGUGAGGGAAAGAUGAAAAGAACUUUGGAAAGAGAGUUAAACAGUACGUGAAAUUGCUGAAAGGGAAACGCUUGAAGUCAGUCGCGUUGUCCAGGGAUCAACCUUGCUUUUGCUUGGUGUACUUUCUGGUUAACGGGUCAGCAUCAAUUUUGACUGUUGGAAAAAGAUCAGGGGAAUGUGGCAUCUUCGGAUGUGUUAUAGCCCUUGGUUGCAUACAAUGGUUGGGAUUGAGGAACUCAGCACGCCGCAAGGCCGGGUUUUAACCACGUACGUGCUUAGGAUGCUGGCAUAAUGGCUUUAAUCGACCCGUCUUGAAACACGGACCAAGGAGUCUAACAUGCCUGCGAGUGUUUGGGUGGAAAACCCGAGCGCGUAAUGAAAGUGAAAGUUGAGAUCCUUGUCAUGGGGAGCAUCGACGCCCGGACCAGACCUUUUGUGACGGUUCCGCGGUAGAGCAUGUAUGUUGGGACCCGAAAGAUGGUGAACUAUGCCUGAAUAGGGUGAAGCCAGAGGAAACUCUGGUGGAGGCUCGUAGCGAUUCUGACGUGCAAAUCGAUCGUCAAAUUUGGGUAUAGGGGCGAAAGACUAAUCGA